rnacentral:tRNA from 1 species
GGAGGAUUUCCCGAGUGGCCAAAGGGGGCAGACUGUAAAUCUGUUAGCAUCGCUUUCCGUGGUUCGAAUCCACGAUCCUCCACCA